CCUACGGGGGGCAGCAGUCGAGAAUCAUUCACAAUGGGGGAAACCCUGAUGGUGCGACGCCGCGUGGGGGAAUGAAGGUCUUCGGAUUGUAAACCCCUGUCAUGUGGGAGCAAAUUAAAAAGAUAGUACCACAAGAGGAAGAGACGGCUAACUCUGUGCCAGCAGCCGCGGUAAUACAGAGGUCUCAAGCGUUGUUCGGAAUCACUGGGCGUAAAGCGUGCGUAGGCUGUUUCGUAAGUCGGGUGUGAAAGGUGCGGGCUCAACCCGCGGACGGCACAUGAUACUGCGAGACUAGAGUAAUGGAGGGGGAACCGGAAUUCUCGGUGUAGCAGUGAAAUGCGUAGAGAUCGAGAGGAACACUCGUGGCGAAGGCGGGUUCCUGGACAUUAACUGACGCUGAGGCACGAAGGCCAGGGGAGCGAAAGGGAUUAGAUACCCUUGUAGUC
rnacentral:rRNA from 1 species